GGGGCAGAAGUAAAGCAGUGCUUGACACUGGAUCUCAAGUGACAAUUAUAUUUCAAUCAUUCUACCAAUGGAUGCUCAGGCACCUGCCAUACAGCCACUGAUUGGCCUUGGCCUGUGUGGCCUCAGCAUGGAUGAAUACCCCUACCAAGGCUUUGUCAUAGUGCACCUAGUGCCAUAGUGCAGAUGAGGUUGCUGGGGGUGAAAAUCCAUUGAAGAUAAUAGAGCCACAUACAUUGGCCAGAAGAGAAUUAAAUUUAACACAGCAGAAAUUUCAUUUUACAUUUGCCUGAUGAUGACCAAACAUCUUGGAUAAGAUCCUGAACCCAGGCUCAUGGUCCGCUGCCGCAGCCACACCACCACCCAACAACUCUACUAGUGACUGGAGAAUUGGGAGCCAUAGGGCCUCAUGCUCCAGUAAGGGUAUUGCCCAGAGGGACCUGAUUGGAGGAGCUCCUGAGCCGCUGAUUGGACCAGGCAGUUCUUCAUAUGAAGACUUACUAAAAUGGGCUAAUGCAUUAUCUCUGAGGAGUGGCUUACUACAAUGCAUAUCACACUUGACCUAAUGGCUUUCACCACCCCAUGAUUUCCCUUGGAAGAGUUGUGGGUUAUUUCUCAGCAAUUAAAGUAAACUGUAUCAUGUGACUGUCCACUGUUGUCUCUCAGUUCAUGUCUGUUA